rnacentral:tRNA from 1 species
GCCCGGGUGCUGAAAUUGGUAAACAGAGGGGACUCAAAAUCCCCUGACCGCAAGGUCUUGUCGGUUCAAGUCCGACCCCGGGCA